AGGCCUCACGUUGCGGCUGAACUCAACAUCUCAAACAGUGGGGAACUCAACAAAGUCGUGGGACAAAAGCUAACCAGCUCACGAAACCAUCAAGUCACGGAUUUCUUUGCGAUUAUCGACUCCCCUGUGUCUGACUGAUGAUACAUCUUCCUACUCUCCACCACCAUCUCCACCCCGUCCUCCAGACUCCACUGCACCUUCAGUGACUGCAGUUCCUGAGCUUGAUGAACAGGAGGUUGGGGGUGGUGCCAAUCCCCAGUUGUGGGAGGAUACUUCGGGAGCGUCAUCCAUCUACUCUCCUCCUACAUCUCCACCUUCACCUGCUCCAGACUAUGUCCUUGGGACAGAAAACAGUGGCCAACUUCAGCCAACGGAAACUCAGAGCUUUGACUUCAAUCCUCUGCCGGAGGCUUUUCCAGGAUUGAAUGUUGGCCACUGUUCUCCCAUCAAGUACCAAGGACAAGUCACAGUCACACAGUCUGGUUUUCCACCUUCAGACU